AUUGAACGCUGGCGGCAGGCCUAACACAUGCAAGUCGAACGAGUGGCGGACGGGAGAGGAAUGCUGGGGAAUCCAGCCUAUGGAGGGGGAUAACUACGGGAAACUGCAGCUAAUAACGCGUACCAUAGGAUGAGCCCAAGUGGGAUUAGGUAGUUGGUGAGGUAAAGGCUCAACAAGCCGACGAUCUCUAGCUGGUCUGAGAGGAUGACCAGCCACACUGGGACUGAGGCACGGCCCAGACUCCUACGUGAUGCAGCAGUGGGGAAUAUUGCGCAUUGGGGGCAACCUGACGCAGCCAUGCCGCUCGAAUGAUGAAGGCCUUCGGUUCGUACAGUUCUUUCGGUAGCGAGGCGUUAACUACCGAAGAAGCACCGGCUAACACCGUGCCAGCAGCCGCGGUAAUAG
rnacentral:rRNA from 1 species